CUUAAUGCUACAGAUUCUCCUCUCUAGGACUCUUCUACUUGCACACAUCUCUAGCACAUGACACUGUCCAUGUGGGAGGUAACCUGACUCAUUUUAUUUUGGUGCCCUAAGCCCUCAUGUGAGAAAUCUACUACCAGGAGGUCACUAUCCUGUGAAUGGUCUAGAUCAACUGGGGAAGAAAUAGUGAGAUGCAUCUUUAGAAUCUCCCAUGUAUCAAGCUUCCUUAAGAACUUUUCAAAACUGUCACCAAAAUACUCAGUUGAUGUCAAAUAUCAUCAUCUUCUUGAGCAGCUUGAGUAUGUUCACAAAACAGAUGCAUUUAUUUUUGCAGGGACUAAUAUUA
rnacentral:lncRNA from 1 species